CUGGAGAAUGAGGACAUCGGUCGACUGCAGGCAGAGAUUGACAAUAUCCCCAACCUGAUAGAGGCCAUUAGGACCGCUCUGCCAGCUCCGGAAGGAAAGAAUGGCAGUUUAAAGGAUUUAAAGACUAGUUCCAACACAAGUUAUGUGAGCGGGCCGGGAAACGCACUGUCGAUCCUCGGAUUUUGAUGAUCUUCGAAAUCUAGGCUAUCUCAAUUGUAUUGCCGACGGUGUCUUCACAAACAUAAGUGACGCCAACAAAAAAGGCAGCAAGACAUACGAUAACAUCUGGAUAUCUAAACAGAC